rnacentral:rRNA from 1 species
GCCUAACCGUAACACACAAUUAAAUUACCAAUUGCCCGCCAAACAACUACGAGUCGUACUUGAAACUUAAAAGACUUGACGGUACUUCACCCCGACCUAGAGGAGCCUGUCCAAUAACCGACGAUCCACGAUUAACCCCACCCUUUCUCGCCCAACAGUCUAUAUACCGCCGUCGCCAGCUUACCUUGUAAAAGAAAUAAAGUGAGCUAAACAGUACCACACUAAAACGACAGGUCGAGGUGUAACCAAUGGAAGGGACCAAGAUGGGCUACAUUCUCAAACCAGAAUACGAAUAGCACUACGAAACUAGUGCCUGAAGGCGGAUUUAGCAGUAAGAUAGGAACAAAACACCUGACUGAACAUAACGCAAUGAAGUGCGUACACACCGCCCGUCAUCCCUGCCACCAC